rnacentral:rRNA from 1 species
GACGAACGCUGGCGGCGUGCCUAAUACAUGCAAGUAGAACGCACAGUUUAUACCGUAGCUUGCUACACCAUAAACUGUGAGUUGCGAACGGGUGAGUAACGCGUAGGUAACCUGCCUGGUAGCGGGGGAUAACUAUUGGAAACGAUAGCUAAUACCGCAUAAUAUUGAUUAUUGCAUGAUAAUUGAUUGAAAGAUGCUAUUGCAUCACUACCAGAUGGACCUGCGUUGUAUUAGCUAGUAGGUGAGGUAACGGCUCACCUAGGCGACGAUACAUAGCCGACCUGAGAGGGUGAUCGGCCACACUGGGACUGAGACACGGCCCAGACUCCUACGGGAGGCAGCAGUAGGGAAUCUUCGGCAAUGGACGAAAGUCUGACCGAGCAACGCCGCGGGAGUGAAGAAGGUUGUCGGAUCGUAAAGCUCUGUUGUAAGAGAAGAACGGGUGUGAGAGUGGAAAGUUCACACUGUGACGGUAUCUUACCAGAAAGGGACGGCUAACUACGUG